AGAAUUAACCUAAAAAUAUAAUUAUCUUCUAUCAUCUUCUCCGCCGUUUCUCUUCCUCCUCUCCAAUGGUGAUUUAGCCUUCUUCUUCAUCAUAAGGUUAAGUGAUCAUCGUCUAUAUUCUUUGUCUCUUUUUCUCUGUUCUCUGUUUUUUAUCCUCGUUUUUGUUCUAUGCCUUCUUACUUCGUCGGUUCAAUCAUAUAUUUCAUCACUACUUUCAUCAAAAUCCUACAAUUCUUCACACAUGGUUCUUGAUCUUACAAAAGAUAACCUUGUCUACAAGUUUUCUUUUGGUAUCUCCUUGGUCACUUCUUUGGUUCGAAAACAAGGAUCAGAAUGAUCACUCUGAUCUUGAAGAAGGCAUCAGAAGAUGGUUUACUAAGAGCUUGAUGUCGCGAGCGAUGUUGCUAUUUGUAGAGUGGAAUUUCUUUGUCCUUUCCCAUAUGAUUGCAUUCAGAUUGAGCUCAAGAGAUAUCCAAGUGAGUGUUUGGGUUUAGUUCUGUCUGCAACAUCUGGUGGGUACUAAUUGUUUUUUGGUUUGAUAUGAAAAAUAUGCGAGAUAUUUUGGUGCCAAGAAGAGGCAAUGAACAUGGGAGCAUACAACUACAUAACUCCAAGGUUAUAGACAGCAAUGAAAAGCUUAGGCAGAAGAGAGAUGGAAGGCAUUAAGUAUUGUUGGUCGUGGACCUUCUGCUGACUGCUGCUACUGCCACUGGUUUCUACACUUUCCAUGUCAAGAGCAAAAGCUGAGCUCAUCCAGAAAGCCAUUGGCAAUGAACCUAUCAGUAGAACAAAAAACUUCAUUUUGAAUGAAUUCAUAUACUGAAAAAAGAAAAAAAAAGAGAACUUCAAAUAAAAAGUUUGGGUGAUCAAAGUGAUAAACAACACUGACAAAAUCUUGUCUUUGUGGUCCCACUGAUUUUUUGAACCUCUCUUGUGUUGCAGUUUGAUAAACAUCAUCUCAUUUAUAAUAAUAAAACUAUUGUUUUUCUUGUUCA